rnacentral:rRNA from 1 species
GAUGAACGCUGGCGGCGUGCCUAAUACAUGCAAGUCGAGCGAACAGACGAGGAGCUUGCUCCUUUGACGUUAGCGGCGGACGGGUGAGUAACACGUAGGUAACCUACCUAUAAGACUGGGAUAACUUCGGGAAACCGGAGCUAAUACCGGAUAAUAUUUCGAACCGCAUGGUUCGAUAGUGAAAGAUGGCUUGGCUAUCACUUAUAGAUGGACCUGCGCCGUAUUAGCUAGUUGGUAAGGUAACGGCUUACCAAGGCAACGAUACGUAGCCGACCUGAGAGGGUGAUCGGCCACACUGGAACUGAGACACGGUCCAGACUCCUACGGGAGGCAGCAGUAGGGAAUCUUCCGCAAUGGGCGAAAGCCUAACGGAGCAACGCCGCGUGAGUGAUGAAGGUCUUCGGAUCGUAAAACUCUGUUAUUAGGGAAGAACAAACGUGUAAGUAACUGUGCACGUCUUGACGGUACCUAAUCAGAAAGCCACGGCUAACUACGUG